AGUGAACGCUGGCGGUAGGCCUAACACAUGCAAGUCGAACGGCAGCACAGUAAGAGCUUGCUCUUACGGGUGGCGAGUGGCGGACGGGUGAGGAAUACAUCGGAAUCUACUUUUUCGUGGGGGAUAACGUAGGGAAACUUACGCUAAUACCGCAUACGACCUACGGGUGAAAGCAGGGGAUCUUCGGACCUUUCGCGAUUGAAUGAGCCGAUGUCGGAUUAGCUAGGUGGCGGGGUAAAGGCCCACCAAGGCGACGAUCCGUAGCUGGUCUGAGAGGAUGAUCAGCCACACUGGAACUGAGACACGGUCCAGACUCCUACGGGAGGCAGCAGUGGGGAAUAUUGGGCAAUGGGCGCAAGCCUGAUCCAGCCAUACCGCGUGGGUGAAGAAGGCCUUCGGGUUGUAAAGCCCUUUUGUUGGGAAAGAAAAGCAGCAGGUUAAUACCCCGCUGUUCUGACGGUACCCAAAGAAUAAGCACCGGCUAACUUCGUG
rnacentral:rRNA from 1 species